rnacentral:rRNA from 1 species
GCACGGGUGAGUAACACGUAUCCAACCUGCCGUCUACUCUUGGACAGCCUUCUGAAAGGAAGAUUAAUACAAGAUGGCAUCAUGAGUCCGCAUGUUCACAUGAUUAAAGGUAUUCCGGUAGACGAUGGGGAUGCGUUCCACUAGAUAGUAGGCGGGGUAACGGCCCACCUAGUCUUCGAUGGAUAGGGGUUCUGAGAGGAAGGUCCCCCACAUUGGAACUGAGACACGGUCCAAACUCCUACGGGAGGCAGCAGUGAGGAAUAUUGGUCAAUGGGCGAGAGCCUGAACCAGCCAAGUAGCGUGAAGGAUGACUGCCCUAUGGGUUGUAAACUUCUUUUAUAAAGGAAUAAAGUCGGGUAUGGAUACCCGUUUGCAUGUACUUUAUGAAUAAGGAUCGGCUAACUCCGUGCCAGCAGCCGCGGUAAUACGGAGGAUCCGAGCGCUAUCCGGAUUUAUUGGGUUUAAAGGGAGCGUAGAUGGAUGUUUAAGUCAGUUGUGAAAGUUUGCGGCUCAACCGUAAAAUUGCAGUUGAUACUGGAUAUCUUGAGUGCAGUUGAGGCAGGCGGAAUUCGUGGUGUAGCGGUGAAAUGCUUAGAUAUCACGAAGAACUCCGAUUGCGAAGGCAGCCUGCUAAGCUGCAACUGACAUUGAGGCUCGAAAGUGUGGGUAUCAAACAGGAUUAGAUACCCUGGUAGUCCACACGGUAAAGGAUGAAUACUCGCUGUUUGCGAUAUACCGCAAGCGGCCAAGCGAAAAGCGUUAAGUAUUCCACCGGGGGAGGUCCGCCGGCAACGGUGAAAUUCAAAGGAAUUGACGGGGGCCCGCACAAGCGGGAGGAACAUGUGGUUUAAUUCGAUGAUACGCGAGGAACCUUACCCGGGCUUAAAUUGCAGAUGAAUUACGGUGAAAGCCGUAAGCCGCAAGGCAUCUGUGAAGGUGCUGCAUGGUUGUCGUCAGCUCGUGCCGUGAGGUGUCGGCUUAAGUGCCAUAACGAGCGCAACCCUUGUUGUCAGUUACUAACAGGUUCCGCUGAGGACUCUGACAAGACUGCCAUCGUAAGAUGUGAGGAAGGUGGGGAUGACGUCAAAUCAGCACGGCCCUUACGUCCGGGGCUACACACGUGUUACAAUGGGGGGUACAGAGGGCCGCUACCACGCGAGUGGAUGCCAAUCCCCAAAACCUCUCUCAGUUCGGACUGGAGUCUGCAACCCGACUCCACGAAGCUGGAUUCGCUAGUAAUCGCGCAUCAGCCACGGCGCGGUGAAUACGUUCCCGGGCCUUGCACA